rnacentral:rRNA from 1 species
GACGAACGCUGGCGGCGCGCUUAACACAUGCAAGUCGAGCGAGAACCGGGGCUUCGGCCCCGGGGACAGCGGCGAACGGGUGAGUAACACGUGGGUAACCUGCCCUCGGCGCCGGGAUAGCCCGGGGAAACCCGGAUUAAUACCGGAUAGCCCUUUCGGUCUUCGGACCGGUCGGAAAAGGUAGCUUCGGCCUCCGGCCGAGGAUGGGCCCGCGGCGGGUUAGCUUGUUGGUGAGGUAACGGCUCACCAAGGCGACGAUCCGUAGCUGGUCUGAGGGGACGAUCAGCCACACUGGGACUGAGACACGGCCCAGACUCCUACGGGAGGCAGCAGUGGGGAAUUGUUCACAAUGGGCGCAAGCCUGAUGACGCAACGCCGCGUGGGGGAUGAAGGUCUUCGGAUUGUAAACCCCUGUCGAACGGGACGAAAGACUCGGGAGCUAAUCAUCUCGAGAGUGACGGUACCGUUAAAGGAAGCCACGGCUAACUCUGUGCCAGCCGCCGCUGUAA